AGCAAACGAUAGCUUACUGGGAACACCAAGCUGUGCACACUUGGGCCAAUGUUUGCUAUGUUUUCUAAAACUUGCUGAAAUAUUGCAACCAUAGUUUGACUGAGUGCCAGUCCUGGAGCUGGGGAGAGCAGCAGGACUUUCGAUUUCUCCCUUGGUCAGAUGGUGAGAAAAGCCUUGGGGAGUGAGGUGAUCAGACGACCUUGAGUUGGAGAUUGUCAUAUCGUAGCAAGUUGCACCAAGGACUCUGCACAGCAGGAGAGGAAACUCUAAACUCUGUUUCAAUCGACUGUCC